CAUGAUAUAACACAUAAAAGGAGCACGUAACAACAUCGUUCUCCAUUAACUGGAUCUUUGUCAGAGAAGAAGCAGAGAAGUAUACCGAGCUGAUAUUCUGAGGAUUUCUCUCGACUAAACCAUUUGACUGUGAAAACAUUCUUUGAACCAUGAACCAGAAGAGUGUCUUGGGCCUUUGUCUCGUCUUUGCACUGGUUUGCUUAACCCAAUCUAAGCCUGUACUUCCUGUACCUGGGCCUAUACCUCCUCAUGGUGAUGUUCCUGCUAAAAGAUAUUAUUACCACGGGAAAACUUUCGGAAGUGGAAGUAACAACGGGAAUUCGAACUCAGGAAGUCACAUCAGU